rnacentral:lncRNA from 1 species
AAAAGGACCGCUCCCUAUAGAUGACAGUGUACUCUCUACGAGAGUGGUGAUGCGAAUAUCUUUUAGGGGUCACUUUUGGCUAAGUACUAUUUUGACUAUAGAUAUUUGAUAGGACCACUAUGGUUGGUACAGUCAUGGUCAUAGAUAUGCUUUGGCCAGCCAGAAUUGUGCCUAAGCAAAUUGUUGUCAUCUGUAUCUGAUCUAGUCAUUCCACAUUGGUAGUUAGAA